CAAACGACUCUCGGCAACGGAUAUCUCGGCUCUCGCAUCGAUGAAGAACGUAGCGAAAUGCGAUACUUGGUGUGAAUUGCAGAAUCCCGUGAACCAUCGAGUCUUUGAACGCAAGUUGCGCCCGAAGCCACUAGGCUGAGGGCACGUCUGCCUGGGUGUCACAC
rnacentral:rRNA from 2 species